rnacentral:lncRNA from 1 species
AGACAGACUCCGGGGCCCUCAACUGGUCUCCGACCUUCCCCUGCAACCUGCGACACCUGCCAUUUUCCCAUCUUAGGCUCCAGAAGCAGAAUCAAGUGGGAUGUCUUGGAAGAAAAACAAACAAAAGGCCCACUAGGUGGAGUGAAAUGGAUCAGGAGCAAUUAUGUUCAAUUUCACCUUUAAGUUUUCUCAAAAGGAGGAGCAUUAAGAAUCAGCCACCUUAGUACAUACUUAAAGGAGAAGAUAGUCAUUGGACAAAAGUCCACAGGUCGAGAGGAACCAUACUUGAAGAAACAUACCUGAAGGGUUUCAUCCAUAUGUGGGCCUGAUUUGGAUGAUAAAAUCCUGCAUCUUGAGCCUGAUCUUGAUGCUGCCUGUGUUCUGAUGCCAUCAGGAGUUGAGAGUCUAGGGGUUUUAGAAAGGGUGAAUGUAUUUUCCCAUAGGCAAGGAACAUAAUCAAUGGCCAAAAUGUGCACUGUGACAGAUUAAAGGUUGCUACAAAUUCUCUGAUACCCUUCCAUUAAGAGGUAGGGCAGAUAUUCCCUCCCCUCAAAUCUGGGUGGGCUCCAUGACUUGCUUUGAUCAACAGAAAACGGCAGCAGUGAUGCUGGGCCAGUUGUUGGAUCCAGGCCUUAAGAACCAACAACUUCCACUUAAGUUCUCUUGGAACACUGAGUCCCUGACUACCCUAAUAUCAUGUUGGAAAGGCUACAUGUAGGCACUCUAGUUGCCAGUCCCAGCCAAGACCAGCUUUUCAGCCAUCCCCAUCACUAAAUUUGUAAAUGAAGCCAUCUGGAAUCUCCAGACCAGCUCAUUUGGCAGCUGGGUAUCAUCAAGUUAUCUCUGCUGACUCCACAUGGAACAAAGGAAUCACCCAGCUGAGCCCUAUUCAAACUAUUGACCAAAAAAAUAGUGAGACAUAAUAAAAUGAUGUUUUAAGC